AGUCGAACGAUGAAGCCCUUCGGGGUGGAUUAGUGGCGAACGGGUGAGUAACACGUGGGCAAUCUGCCCUUCACUCUGGGACAAGCCCUGGAAACGGGGUCUAAUACCGGAUAUGACCGUCUUGGGCAUCCUUGACGGUGUAAAGCUCCGGCGGUGAAGGAUGAGCCCGCGGCCUAUCAGCUUGUUGGUGAGGUAAUGGCUCACCAAGGCGACGACGGGUAGCCGGCCUGAGAGGGCGACCGGCCACACUGGGACUGAGACACGGCCCAGACUCCUACGGGAGGCAGCAGUGGGGAAUAUUGCACAAUGGGCGAAAGCCUGAUGCAGCGACGCCGCGUGAGGGAUGACGGCCUUCGGGUUGUAAACCUCUUUCAGCAGGGAAGAAGCGCAAGUGACGGUACCUGCAGAAGAAGCGCCGGCUAACUACGUGCCAGCAGCCGCGGUAAUACGUAGGGCGCAAGCGUUGUCCGGAAUUAUUGGGCGUAAAGAGCUCGUAGGCGGCUUGUCACGUCGGGUGUGAAAGCCCGGGGCUUAACCCCGGGUCUGCAUUCGAUACGGGCUAGCUAGAGUGUGGUAGGGGAGAUCGGAAU
rnacentral:rRNA from 1 species